rnacentral:rRNA from 1 species
UGCAGUCGAGGGGUAACAGAGAGAGCUUGCUCUUUGCUGACGACCGGCGCACGGGUGCGUAACGCGUAUACAAUCUGCCUAUCACUGAGGGAUAGCCCGAAGAAAUUUGGAUUAAUACCUCAUAGUAUUAUAGAAUCGCAUGGUUUUAUAAUUAAAGGUUACGGUGAUAGAUGAGUAUGCGUCCUAUUAGCUAGAUGGGGAGGUAAAGGCUCCCCAUGGCUACGAUAGGUAGGGGUCCUGAGAGGGAGAUCCCCCACACUGGUACUGAGACACGGACCAGACUCCUACGGGAGGCAGCAGUGAGGAAUAUUGGACAAUGGGCGCAAGCCUGAUCCAGCCAUGCCGCGUGUAGGAAGACGGCCCUAUGGGUUGUAAACUACUUUUAUACGGGAAGAAACCUAUCCUCGUGAGGGUAGCUGACGGUACCGUAAGAAUAAGCACCGGCUAACUCCGUGCCAGCAGCCGCGGUAAUACGGAGGGUGCAAGCGUUGUCCGGAAUCAUUGGGUUUAAAGGGUCCGUAGGCGGGCUAAUAAGUCAGUGGUGAAAUGCAGGGGCUCAACUCCGGCACUGCCAUUGAUACUGUUAGUCUUGAAUUAUUGUGAAGUGGUUAGAAUAUGUAGUGUAGCGGUGAAAUGCUUAGAUAUUACAUAGAAUACCGAUUGCGAAGGCAGAUCACUAACAAUAUAUUGACGCUGAUGGACGAAAGCGUGGGUAGCGAACAGGAUUAGAUACCCUGGUAGUCCACGCCGUAAACGAUGGUUACUAGCUGUUUGGACGAAUUGACGUCUGAGUGGCCAAGCGAAAGUGAUAAGUAACCCACCUGGGGAGUACGUUCGCAAGAAUGAAACUCAAAGGAAUUGACGGGGGCCCGCACAAGCGGUGGAGCAUGUGGUUUAAUUCGAUGAUACGCGAGGAACCUUACCAGGGCUUAAAUGUAGUAUGACAGAUUUGGAAACAGAUUUUUCUUCGGA